UAUCUAAAAACAUUGCUAUUGCUGCAUCUGCAAAAAUGGAAAAAGAGAACAAUGAAAGAAGAACGUGGAUUGAAGAUUGAGAUAAAAUACCAACCGAUUAUGUUGUUGAUUUCCCCUUCUAUCUUAAAGGGCAUAUUAUUGUUACCUUUUAAAAUCAUAUUUGACUUUGUUAGCACAUAAUAGCUACUGCUUGAAUAUAGUUGUGAAUUAUCCGACUAAUGGUGUAUAUUGAGCAUCAUGGUGGUCAGUACUAACCACAAAAGAACAAUCUCUAUUCAUAUGCAAAGAAUAUAGCUUACCUGAAAACACCAAGAAUUGGAAGUCCCUUCUGCAUAGCUAUACUUCUCUUCAUGAGAAGCACUGCAGCCGCACCAUCACUGACUUGGCUAGAAUUCCCUAGAAAGAUCAUGUAAUUAGCAAUAGUUCCAAAUUCGAAGUAGAAUAAAUAUUUUAACAUAGUGGGAAACUAGUACCUGUAGUUGUUGCUCCGUCUCUUUUGAAUGGAGGCUUCAGCUUCGCCAGGCCUAUCAAAUUUGUGGUUGGCAGAAUGCAUCAACAUAUUGUCCCUAUUCCAGCCGAAAUUCUAAACCCAUGUAAUUUAAACUAACAGAACGACAAGAAAGGAAAAAGAAAAGAAAAAACCACAUCCGGAAAAGAAAUUGUCACUAUGAACUUUGAAGAGAUUAACACUGAAGUGAAUACUAGAUACCAUGAACUCAUUCCAGCUCAAAUCCUAUACCUAUGCACCUUAAACAAACAGAACAACAAGGAAUUUUAAAAGAAAAAAAACCCACAUCCCAAAAAGGAAUUGUCACAAUCGAGUUACCAUUCUCACAAAAAAAAAAAAAAGAUUUCACAAUGAGCUUCGAAGAGAUUUACACUGAAGUAAAUACAACAUACAUGAAUCUACUCCAGCUUAAAUUAUAUACUCAUGUCAUUUAAGCUAUCAGAACAAUAACAAUGGUAAAAGCAAACAAACCCACAUCCCAAAAACAGAUUAUUCACAAUGAAGUUUCAAUAGAUUAUCACUGAAGUUAAUGCAAAAUACAUGAACCUACUCCAGCUCAAACUCUACACCCAUGUAAUUUAAGCUAUCAGAAAAACAAGAAUGGCAAAAGCACAAAAACCCACAUCCUAAAAAGGGAUUUCAACAAUGAAGUUUCAAGAGAUUAACACUAAAGUGAAUACAACGAAUCAACAAACAAACAAAAAAGUAAUUGAAUCAGAAAGACUAAAAGUGGAGCGAGAAAAAUGGAAUCGUAUAAGUGCUCUUCAGCUCUGUUUUCGAUCUUCAGCUCUUCAGCGGUUCCGUGAGAAAAGCGAUCUUCAGCUCUUCAUCAAUUCUUCGAUUCUGAUUUGGGGUUUCAGCUCUUCAGCUCGAUGUUCUUCAGCUCCCUUUUCAGUUCUCCAUAGAAAAGUAGUAUGUCGUUUUUCUGAUUAAUGUUUUAUGAAUUAUUAUUUUUGGCCAAUAAAAAUGGGAGGGAGAGUUAAAAUUUUAAGCAACACUUGUAAUGUGG
rnacentral:lncRNA from 1 species